rnacentral:rRNA from 1 species
UACGGGGGGAGCAAGCGUUGUUCGGAUUUACUGGGCGUAAAGGGCGCGUAGGCGGCCCGCUAAGUCGAACGUGAAAUCCCCGGGCUCAACCCGGGAACUGCGUCCGAUACUGGUGGGCUUGAAUCCGGGAGAGGGAUGCGGAAUUCCAGGUGUAGCGGUGAAAUGCGUAGAUAUCUGGAGGAACACCGGUGGCGAAGGCGGCAUCCUGGACCGGCAUUGACGCUGAGGCGCGAAAGCCAGGGGAGCAAACGGG